UUAUCUACAUGCGAUGAUCGCACCCUCCCAUUAAGGGGUGGUGAGGAAAGUCCGAACUCCCAUAUCCUUCGGGAUAUGUCAUGGUAGUGGGUAACACCCACCCGUAUAGUGGCAACACUAUGCGCGGGAAAGUGCCACAGAGACAAUACUACUUAUCCAUUCUUUGGAUAAAAAAAGGUGAAAAGUGCGUUGAUGUUUUUUACUCUCGAGAUAAAAGGCUACAACGCUCGUAUCCUGGCAACAGGAAUACGUGGUAAACCCUACCUGGAGAAAGAGCAGCGUUCGCAAUUAUGUGCGUUCGAAAAGGUAGCUCGUUUAAGACCAUUGGUAACAAUGGAUCUAGAGAAAUGAUCAUCUCCACUUUUAGUGGAAACAGAAUUCGGCUUACAAUAUAGAUAAGACA
rnacentral:RNase_P_RNA from 1 species